rnacentral:rRNA from 1 species
AUGGCUUCUCCGUAUCUCCUUCACCGUCUCACCGCCGACGAGAUCUUCCAAACUCUAGAGGCUUCCUCCUCCACGUCCUCCUCAUGCUACGAUGCCUUCGUGCCGGUGUUCCGCCCAGAUCCCUCGGCCUCCUCCCUAUCCGUGUCGGCGGCCGACCGCGUCCGGAGCCAGUUCCUCUCCGUGGAGCGCGACCUCUUCCACGACGCACUCGUCGCGCCCAGGAAUGACGACCUCGGCUUCCCCGAGGAGAACGAUGAGGAGGAGGAGGCCUCGAUCCGGUGGGAUUGCUUCCAAUUGGACGAGGAGGAGGAGCCAGAUCUGCCGCUGGAGGGUUCCGUACCAGCCGAGGAAUUCGACUGGGAGGAAGUCGCGUUCGCCUCCGGACCCUUGGUGGAGAAUCCGGAGCCCGACUGGGAGAUGCUCGGCGACAUGCCGCCCAACGCUCCCGCCGGCGCUAACGAGGGUUUCGUGUACACCUCUGACAGGGAGGCGUAUGAGGUGCUCGUCGCUGUUGGGGAUGGGCUUUUCCUCACCAACAAGCCGCCGGCAGCCAGGUCGGCUGUCAAGGCGCUGCCAUCCGCCAUCGUCGCCGCUGGCGAGGAAGGGGAGGGCGAGGAGUGCUCCGUGUGUAAGGACGGGGUUGUGGCGGGGGAGCGCGUCAAGAUGAUGCCUUGCUCCCAUCGGUACCAUGAGGAAUGCAUCCUUCCAUGGCUUGAGGUGCGCAACUCCUGCCCACUCUGCCGCUUUGAGCUGCCGACCGACAAUCCCAAGUACGAGAACUGGAAGGCUGGACAAGCCAUGGCUGCCUGA